ensembl:lncRNA
AUGCUUCUAUCAGCAUCCCUCUGGGAGCUUAUCUUCAACCCGCCUGAAAUUAUCUGCAGGACCCACGGUGGCCUGCGCUCACCGAGGGCUCCGGGACAGGCACAGGGCUGGGGCAUCCUGGGUCUCGCCCGUCCUCUGUCCUGGGCUGUUGCGAACUCCUCAAAUCUGAAAGUCCGAGAUUUCCUCUCCGUGUCACGGAUGAGACCACGGAAGCACAGAGAGGUGAAGCGAGGUGCCCACGGUCACACAGCUGGUCCAUGGGGAGCAGGACGUCAGCCCAGGGCGAGCGGCUCCACCACCUGUGCCGUUAACUCUGCGACAGUGACCAAGUGCCUGGGUGACAAUCCUCUCCCCAGCCUCUGCGUGGACCCAGCUCCCAGCUCUAGGAUGCCCCGGUCAGCCGCCUCUUUGUCUUCCUCUUCUUCCCCCUUCCUCCUCCUCCUUCCUUCCUCCUCCUUCUCCCUCCUUUGUCCUCCUUCUCCCUCCUUCUUCCCCCUUCCUCCUCCUUCUCCCUCUUUCCUCCUCUUUCUCCCUCCUUCCUCCUCCUUCCUCCUCCUUCUCCCUCCUUCACCUUCCUUCUCCAUCCUUCUCCCUCCUUUGUCCUCCUUCCUCCUCCUUCUCCCUCCACCCUCCUCCUCUCUCCCUCUCCCUCCUCCAUCCUUCUCCCUCCUUCAUCUUCCUUCUCCCUCCUUCUUCCUCCUCCCUUUCUCCCUCUUCCUUCCUUCUCCCUGCUUCAUCCUUCUCCUUCCUUCGUCCUCCUUCUCCCUCCUUCUUCCUCCUCCAUCCUUCUCCCUCCUUCUCCCUCCUUCAUCCUCCUUCUCCCUCCUUCAACCUCCUUCUUCCUCCUUCAUCCUCCCACCGCCCCCUUUCUUCCCCUUCCUCCCCUGCCCCCGAUGUGUGCACCCCCAGCAGAACGUCAGCUCCAGGAGAAAGCUGUCUUGUCCACCCCGUGUGUGUGUGUGUGUGUGUGUGUGUGUGUGUGUCGGGAGGCUCACCUCCUGGAUCGGAGCCCAUGGGCGACGGGGUGCGUGCUGGAGUUCGCCACCCGGAGGUCGGGUGGGGUGGAGGGUCCCAGCACCACUCUCCACGAGGCCCCGAUGAACCAUGGAGCUUCCCUGGACCUCACAUUCUGCUUUUGCAAAAUCAGGGAAGCAGACACCAGCCUGAUGUGAGGAUUCCAUUCCUGGCCCAGCCUGGACCCGAAGGCCGCUCAGACGGCACCCCCACGUCUCGGCCCAGGACCGCAGAACCCAGCUGUCUGCCGGGCUCUCAGCCUCCUACCACUCGGGCAUCCACGCACGUUUAAUUUGAUCCAGGGGAGGAAAUCAUCUCUGUUUUUGGUGGUGGUGGCACUAAUGGUCUAUUUCCUGCUCAGCGCUCGGUGCCGAGUUGGCAAUAAUGUAGAAAAAUUAGUAUUAUCAGGACUGCCUUCAGAGCAAUCUCUUGCACCAGAGUCCCUGACACGUUAAUUAAACUUGAUAAAUGCUCUUGUCUAAAGAUAACUUUUGAACAAUGGAUCUAGUCACCCACUUAAAUAGUUGCAGGCGCGCUCCGGCAAAUUGCCGAGGCGGCGCUCAGAGAUCCCCGGUCCGGCAGCGGGGCUGGGGUGCUGGGGAGAGGGACCUCCGCGGGCCUUUGCAGGGCCCGACACAGGCCUCGGGGGACCGAGGAGGGCAGAGGGCUGUCCCUCCUCAGUUCCAAGCAGGAAUUCUGCCUGCCUCUGCUUGCAAUUCCUGCACAAGCCCCUCCCUGCUCGGCACCCCAUCCCAUCACCAUAGCAACCCAUUCUGCGAUGGGCACUGUUGGGGGAGGCAGGAGAGCCCAGAGAGAGGACCUUUGUCCCUCUCUUUUCAUUGUUUGUUGUCCUGGGGACGACUCAUCCAGGAAGGGCAUCGUUUUCUGGGACAUUCUUCUCCCCUCCGCCCUCCAGACGCUCCAGUGCUGGAAAAGCCCACGAUGCAGGAAGCUCCUCCCGGGACCUCAGCAACAGAACCUGGCCUGCCCGGGGCCCAGCAUCCAGACACCGGGUCAUGUGACUGUUCGCAGCACCCCAAUUCCAUCUAGCUGUGUCCGAGGCAGAGACGCGAGGGGCCACGAGGUG